GCGAACGCUGGCGGCAGGCCUAAACAUGCAAGUCGAACGCCCGUAGCAAUACGGGAGUGGCAGACGGGUGAGUAACACGUGGGAACGUACCCUUUGGUUCGGAACAACACAGGGAAACUUGUGCUAAUACCGGAUAAGCCCUUACGGGGAAAGAUUUAUCGCCAGAGGAUCGGCCCGCGUCUGAUUAGCUUGUUGGUGAGGUAACGGCUCACCAAGGCUACGAUCAGUAGCUGGUCUGAGAGGAUGAUCAGCCACACUGGGACUGAGACACGGCCCAGACUCCUACGGGAGGCAGCAGUUAGGAAUCUUGGACAAUGGGCGCAAGCCUGAUCCAGCCAUGCCGCGUGAGUGAUGAAGGCCUUAGGGUUGUAAAGCUCUUUCAGCGGGGAAGAUAAUGACGGUACCCGCAGAAGAAGCCCCGGCUAACUUCGUGCCAGCAGCCGCGGUAAU
rnacentral:rRNA from 1 species